rnacentral:rRNA from 1 species
AACGAACGCUGGCGGCAGGCUUAACACAUGCAAGUCGGACGAUGUAGCAAUACAUAGUGGCGCACGGGUGAGUAACGCGUGGGAACGUGCCUUUUAGUUGGGAAUAACCACUGGAAACGGUGGCUAAUACCCGAUACGCCCUUCGGGGGAAAGAUUUAUCGCUAAAAGAUCGGCCCGCGUGAGAUUAGGUAGUUGGUGGGGUAAUGGCCUACCAAGCCUACGAUCUCUAGCUGGUCUGAGAGGAUGAUCAGCCACACUGGAACUGAGACACGGUCCAGACUCCUACGGGAGGCAGCAGUGGGGAAUAUUGGACAAUGGGGGAAACCCUGAUCCAGCCAUGCCGCGUGAGUGAUGAAGGCCUUAGGGUUGUAAAGCUCUUUUGUCAGGGAAGAUAAUGACGGUACCUGAAGAAUAAGCACCGGCUAACUUCGUGCCAGCAGCCGCCGUAA